rnacentral:rRNA from 1 species
AUUGAACGCUGGCGGCAGGCCUAACACAUGCAAGUCGAGCGGAUGAAGGGAGCUUGCUCCUGGAUUCAGCGGCGGACGGGUGAGUAAUGCCUAGGAAUCUGCCUGGUAGUGGGGGAUAACGUCCGGAAACGGGCGCUAAUACCGCAUACGUCCUGAGGGAGAAAGUGGGGGAUCUUCGGACCUCACGCUAUCAGAUGAGCCUAGGUCGGAUUAGCUAGUUGGUGGGGUAAAGGCCUACCAAGGCGACGAUCCGUAACUGGUCUGAGAGGAUGAUCAGUCACACUGGAACUGAGACACGGUCCAGACGCCUACGGGAGGCAGCAGUGGGGAAUAUUGGACAAUGGGCGAAAGCCUGAUCCAGCCAUGCCGCGUGUGUGAAGAAGGUCUUCGGAUUGUAAAGCACUUUAAGUUGGGGGGAAGGGCAGUAAGUUAAUACCUUGCUGUUUUGACGUUACCAACAGAAUAAGCACCGGCUAACUUCGUG